AUUGAACGCUGGCGGUAUGCUUAACACAUGCAAGUCGAACGGUAGCGGGUCUAGCUUGCUAGAUGCCGACGAGUGGCGGACGGGUGAGUAACACGUAGGAAUCUGCCUCAUAGUUUGGGAUAACGCGAGGAAACUCGCGCUAAUACCGGAUAAUCUCUACGGAGGAAAGUGUGGGACCAUUUGGCCACAUGCUGUGAGAUGAGCCUGCGCUGGAUUAGCUAGUUGGUGGGGUAAUGGCCUACCAAGGCGACGCUCCGUAGCUGGUCUGAGAGGAUGAGCAGCCACACUGUGACUGAGACACGGCCCAGUAUCCUACGGGAGGCAGCAGUGGGGAAUAUUGGACAAUGGGGGCAACCCUGAUUCAGCAAUACCGCGUGUGUGAAGAAGGCCUGCGGGUUGUAAAGCACUUUCAGUAGUGAGGAAGGCUUAAGUGUUAAUAGUACUUAAGAUUGACAUUAGCUACAGAAGAAGCACCGGCUAACUCUGUGCCAGCAGCCGCAGUAA
rnacentral:rRNA from 1 species